UUCAAGUGCGGACGGGUGAGUAACACGUAAGAAUUUGCCUUUAGGAGGGGGAUAACAACUGGAAACGGUUGCUAAUACCCCAUAUGCUUUCGAGUGAAAUGGAUUUUUCCGCCUAAAGAGAAGCUUGCGGCUGAUUAGCUUGUUGGUAAGGUAAUGGCUUACCAAGGCGACGAUCAGUAUCUGGUUUGAGAGGACGAUCAGACACACUGGAACUGAGACACGGUCCAG
rnacentral:rRNA from 1 species